rnacentral:rRNA from 1 species
GACGAACGCUGGCGGCGUGCUUAACACAUGCAAGUCGAACGGAAAGGCCUCUUUCGGGGGGUACUCGAGUGGCGAACGGGUGAGUAACACGUGAGUAACCUGCCCUUGACUUUGGGAUAACUUCAGGAAACUGGGGCUAAUACCGGAUAGGAGCUCCUGCUGCAUGGUGGGGGUUGGAAAGUUUCGGCGGUUGGGGAUGGACUCGCGGCUUAUCAGCUUGUUGGUGGGGUAGUGGCUUACCAAGGCUUUGACGGGUAGCCGGCCUGAGAGGGUGACCGGCCACAUUGGGACUGAGAUACGGCCCAGACUCCUACGGGAGGCAGCAGUGGGGAAUAUUGCCCAAUGGGUGGAAGCCUGAUGCAGCAACGCCGUGUGCGGGAUGACGGCCUUCGGGUUGUAAACCGCUUUCGCUCAUGACGAAGCUUUGUGUGACGGUAGUGGGUAAAGAAGCACCGGCUAACUACGUG